rnacentral:tRNA from 1 species
GAGGGUAUAGCUCAGUAGCAGAGCAUUUGCUUAGUAUGCAUGAGGUCCUGGGUUCAAUCCCCAAGUACCUCUG